rnacentral:lncRNA from 1 species
CAGCUUUAUUUGGAACAGCGAAAACCUGGGAACAGCCCCAUUGUCUGUCAGCAGGUGCGUGUCCGACGCAUCGUGGUGCCUCCACACCACACAACGUGCUCAGCAACGGAGAGAAACAGACUCUGGGAGAAAACUCCAUCUCAAAGGCUGCAUUCCGCACUCCGUUCCCAUAACACUCUUGAAAGGAUGAGUGACGCCGGCGGGUGCUGUGGGUUAGAGAAGGGCCCCGCGGGGCACACCUCACACCUGUGGGGAUGGACGGUCAUGCAUCUCGAAUGUGGUUGUGGUUACAGAAAUCCACAUAUGCGGCCACACAUCGCAGAAUCUCCACACGGAGUCGUACCCAGAAUAAAACAAACACACGGAAACCUAGGAUGUCCAAAUGAGCUCCGUCAUCCAGUGACUUGCGUGGUGCCCAUAUCAGUUUCCUGGUUUUAAGAAUUUGUUGUAGCUCUGCAAAGUGCUGCAUUGUAGGAAGCUGAGGAAUGGAAUGUGGGACCCCUCUGUACUAUUCGGCAACUUUUUGUGAAGCUAUAAUUAGCUCAAAAUGCAAAGCUAAAAUUACUGAGGACUUAGAAAUAAACUUGACAAAAGAUUUACAAGUCCUAUAUACUGAGAACUGAGAAACAUCAAUGAGAGGAAUGAAAAAAGGCCUAAAUAAAUGGAGCCAUAGCAUGUUCAUGGAAGAUGCCAACUCUCCCCAGAUUGAUCUCCAGAAUCAACACAAUCCCAAUCAGAAUCCCAGCAGGAUUUUUGUAGAAAUUGGUAAGCUAAUUCUAAGGUUUAUACAGAAAUGCACAGGACUUGGAGUAACCAAAGCAAGCAUAAAAAAGAACAGAGUUGAAGAAUUUAUAUUACUUGAUUUUAAUCAAGACAGUCAAUAUAAUCAUUAUAACAGAUAAAUAGGUCAAUGAGACAGAACAACACCCAGGCCUACUCAUCUAUGGCCACUACUCAUUUAUGGCCAAUUGACUUUUGAUAAAUGUGCUGAGGCAAUUCAACAGGGAGAGAAUAACCUUUUCCACAAGGAAUGCUGGGUCAUUUGGACACCCAUAAGCAACAAAAUAAAACAAUUACAAAUCCUCAAAACCCUUACCUCACACCACAUACAACAAUUAACUUUGGGCUGGAUGCAGUGGCUCACACCUGUAAUCCCAGCACUUUGGGAAGCUGAGGCAGGUGGAUCAUUUGAGGUCAGGAGUUCAAGACCAGCCUGGGCAACAUGGUGAAACUCUGUUUCUACUAAAAAUACAAAAAUUUUCUGGGCAUGGUGGCAUGUGCUUGUAAUCCCAGCUACUCAGGAGACUGAGGCAUGAAAAUUGAUUGAACCUGGGAAGUGGAGGUUACAGAGAGCCAAGACCACGCCACUGCACUCCAGUGUGGCUGACAGAGCGAGACUCCAUCUCAAAAAAAAAAAUUGUAAUAGGUCAUAAAUCUAAAUGUGUGAACUAAAACAGUAAAACUUGUAAGAAGAAGAUAAGAUAAAAUCAUGGUGACUUUUAGUUUGGGAAAGGUUUUUUAAAUAGAACACAAAAAGUUCAAACUACAUGAAAAAACCAAUAAGCUAAAUUUUAUUAAUUUAAAACUUUUGCCCUUUAAGAGACACUAUAAAGAGGCAAGCUGCCAAGCUGGAGAAAUUAUUUGCAAACCAUGUUCAAAAAGGACUUCUUUCUAAAACAUGUCAAGAAGCCUUUCAACACAAUAAUGAGACAAAACAAUUCAAUUAAAAAGUAGGCAAAAUAUUUGAAUGGAUAUUUCACCAAAGAAGCUAUAUUAACAGACAGAAGCACGCAAGACGAUGCUGACAACCAUUUAGUCCUUAGGGAAGUGCAAACGAAGACCAGUAUGAGAGGUGCCUACAAACCCACCAGCAUGGCUAACAUGUUCAAAAGUGGCCCUGCCAAGGGCUGGCGAGGAUGUGGGGCAACUGGAGCGCGCAGCAUGUUGGCAGGAUCAUAACACAAGAACCACAGGGAACGGUUCGGCCAUUUCUUAAAAAGCUACACAGAGUCACCAUGUGACCCAGACAUGUCUGUUCUGGGAACGUCCACAGAAAGACUGUGUCGUAAACGUUCACAACAACCUUGCCUGUAAUCACCAAAAUCCAAAACAACCUGAACGUCCUCCACGGGUCAGUGGAUGAACCAAUUAUGAUACACCCAUGCAACUAGUGCUCCCCAGCAUUGAAAGGAUGAAUUGUUGGAUGAAUCUCAAAAUAAUUACACUGUGAGACAAUGUCAGGCAAUAAGAGUAUACACGCUGUGUUACCCAGGACAGAAAUGAAUUAAUCUACAGUGACAGAAAGGUCAGUGUCAUCAGAGGAGCAGGAGGGUGGAGGGACGGGGCAGGGGCCAGCCUGGGGGAGGGGAUGUCCAUGGUCUCGAUUGUGGUCAUGGCUCUGUGGGUGCAGCAGAAUGUCAAAACUUAUCAAACCGUACGUCUUAAAUAUGGGCAUUUAAUUGCAUGUCAAAAAAAUCUAAACAAAGCUGAAAAUGGACAAAAUACCACAACCAAUGACAUCUGACCGUAAAGAGAUGGAUUUAGGUAGAAGGAAGAAUUCUUUAACACAGAAUAUGGGUCUCUGAGGGAAAUGUUAUCUCGUAAUUUUCUCACUUUUGGUGUAUUUAAGCUGUAGGACAAGGAGUGAACCCUAACAUUUGGUGAGAGUCUGUGAAACACACUAGGAACCCCCAUGCUGCUUGCGAGUUACUUCCGAGAAACAGCAGAAUGUCACACCCUGUCACCCGCAGGUGCCGUCUGAGGGGCGCUCAUCCCCACCAGCCCGAGGGCCUCCCCGCCAAGGGAGGGGUGUACUCCCUUCCACUUGGCGUCUGCUUGUGCAUUGCCCCUCCCUGAACUCAAGACCUGAGCCUCUCUCGCCUGGACUAUUUGGAAAGUCUACAAAUGGAAGAAGGGGUGCUCUCACUGAGUUGUGUCCGCACAAGGGAAACUGUCCAGGAGCCACAGAAGCAACCGCAAAGUGAGCCUCUCAGACGUGGUUAAAGGGAAGCCAGGCAAAAAGACUGCACGCUGUUGGGUUUCAUUUACUCAAAACCCUAAAACAGGCAGAAUGAGUCAUCUGUGGUAAACCAGCAUUGGGGUUACCUCUGGGGGCCGGGAGGGAACCCUGGGGUGCCAGUCACGUCUGGCGUCUCGGCCUGGGUGGUGGGGAUGGCUCGCCAAGCCUGUUUGUUGCACACGUGGCAUGUCAGCAGAAACACGGGGCAAAUACACACGUGAACACAAGAACCCCGGGUCCCUCCCUCAUCUACCCAGCGACCCUCAGUCACCCCAGCCGGCUCCCUCUCGCCACCCACGGGCUUUCUGUGGAGGCCCCAGCCUGGCCCUGGAGGCCGUGACCCACCCCGCCUCUUGCCUGAGGUCAGCCCAAGAGACCUUCCUGUCUUCGGCCUGGAGAAGGAGCGGCCGCCAGGACCACCCGGGCCUCAGCUCCCUGGGAGGGCCCCUGGAGGACCGGGGCUGCUAAAGUCCACGGGCAUCACCGCAUCUAAUCCAGGCCCUUUGAUGUGGGUGAUGUUGAUACUCCCACUUUACAGGUGGGGAAACCAAGGCUUCAGCUUCCGUGGCCAGGGGAUGAAUGGGAGUGUGGUCUGGAUGGUGGCUCCUGGACCGGAAGCAUGAUGGGAGCCAUGAGGAAUGCAGGUUCUUGGGUCCUUCCAGCUCUGCUGGAUUGGAUGCUCGUGGGGGCUCAGGGUCAACACAACCCCCCAGGACUCUGACCUGGGAAGUGGAGCAGCCUGAUUUGGAGGCGAGGACACACCAGGAGGCACCUUGCCCUGUGGCCACUGCACUGAGGCUUGAGAGAUCACUAGAGACAGCUCAGCCUCAGUGCUCCCGCGCCCCCGCCUCGGUGCUCCUGCGCCCCCGCCUCGGUGCUCCUGCGCCCCCGCCUCGGUGCUCCUGCGCCCCCACCUCGGUGCUCCUCCACUCCCACCCCGGUGCUCCUUCCACCUCUGCCUCACCCGAUGGACUGUGCCUUUGCGUUUCUUGUGCACAAAUCCUGCUGAAGUCUGGGCAGCUGUGUGUUUGAUGAUGGGCUUGUAGGAGAGAAGCAUCUGGACUGCGCCGUGCAGAUGGCGCUUCUCUCCAGGCACAGUCACAUUCCUGGGAGGUUCCUGGAGGCCUCCGAGCCUCGUGCAGACCCAAGGCUGCCUCACCACCAUGGCCACAGCCCAGUGCUGGCUGCCGGGCAUCAAAUCUGCAGAAAUGCACGUGGCAUAAAAGCACCAGAGACAUCCGUCCAGAGCCGAGGGCUCCUCCCUGGCCCAACAUUUUGUCCACGUAAGUCCACUUUUUGGCUGCUGCUCCCAGGCCUGGCAAGAACGCAGAUCCCCACAGCCUCCUGCUCCCUGGCAGCCUGAGGACAGUGUCGUAGGCCUGGGAUCCUCGGGCAGAACUGAAUGCAGCUUUUCCAUUGGAGGGCGCUGGGCCCACAUGGCAAUCACAGGUAUGGCAGAUGAACUCACGGGAUGCUCCGGGACUCCAGGGGCCUCAGGAGAAAGGCCCACUGGCAGCGGGUUGCCCAGGGCUCCAGAGGGGGGCUCCAAUGUGAACCAGUUGCUUGUGGCACAGCGGGUCACCCAGGAUGGCCCUGCGUGGUCAGUGAUAACAGGCAGUCACUCACAGCGCGACUUCACCCAUGGUCACUCCCGGUGACCAGCACUGCACAGCCUGGGCUUUCGUCCCACAUGGCACCUCCCUGUCCAGCCUUGGCCCAAGUGCCUGGGAAACAGACAGGGCACCGUGUGCCUGAACACACUCGGACAGUCGAGGCCCCCAGGAGAAGCAACAGGCAAUGACUCGGUCCCCAAGAAGCUGAGCCUGUCCUUGCUGGGGUCUGUCAUCUCCUCUUAGCCCCGCCAGGCUCCUGAAGCUGCCACAUGUGCAGCGGGAGGUGGGUGGUUUGGGAGCAGAGCGAGGCUCUGGAUGGACGGGCUUUACCACCAGCAGCCACCACCACCUGCUCUGCAGGGCCUGGGCCAGCCCUGAGGAGGUGGCAGACGGAAGGAGGGGCAGCACUGCCUCAGGUCUCCUUUACUGUCUUCCAGACAUCAGCUCAGGGAGAGUAGGCAUGUAGCACUGAGAAACAGGGUUGCUCCCCAUGGCUGCCUCUGCUUCCCUGCCGCACAGUGUCUGUACACGGCCUGGGGACCUGCGAGGCCAGACCGCAGGGCAGGGGCCCACGGCUGUGCCAGCUUCUCUCCCAGGCCGUGGCGGUUAUUACCUCCUGACUUGGCAGAGCAUCCGGCUACUGGAGCCCAUUGGUUCCGGCCAGUGCAGUCAGGACUUAGCUUCCCAGCUGUGAUCUAAAUCCCAGCCUCCCAAAGGCACAGCGCCUAAGUUCUCCCCUGCCAAGCUCACAGCCUUCUCCUUGGCAGGCUGCCCUUUCUCCUGCUGGACCAAACCAAGGAGCACGGUGACCCAGGGACACCACACUCGGUGUCAGCCUCUGAGGCCAUGGAGCCACGCAGACCCAGCACAGGAUUAGAAACAGACCUUCCCGGGAGGCAGAGAGCCAGGCCUCCUGGUUUAUAGCAUGACAAGGCAGCACUCAGGAGGACGCAUCAAUCCUUCUCCAUGUCAGCACCUGUGACUGUGACCACUGGACCCUUGGGCCUGGCGUUUCUUCACCUGCGACCAUCCAGGAGCUGGACCUGCCCUAGGGCGUCAGUUUCCAGGGAAGCCUCUGGCCUGUGUGUGAGCCUCCCCACCUGCCCGGCCACGGCCUCCACAGGCGCCCUGCGCAGCCCCGCCCCUCCUGGGGCAAAGGCUUUGCGAAGACUUUCUUCUCUGGCUCAUCCCUUUAAGGAGGCAUAAAAACGAACCCCGGGCCUCACAGGUCCGGAAUGCGCCCCCCUCCACGAUGGGAGCUUCUUGGCCUUGGCUGUGCAGGGGCCGCGGCUCCUGGGGGUCUGGCCGGAUCUGCAGUAGUGCUGAAUGAGCUGUGGCCAGGAAGACGCAAUGAAUAAUUGUCACUUAAAAGGAUAAACAGAAAUUCCAUUUCCCUUUUAAAUACUUGAACAUUUCAAAACAUCUGGAGGACGCGAUGCUUUUCCUUCCAAGCAUCUCCGUGGAGUUUUGUGGGUUACCGCAGAGGAUCGGCAGCAUUCCUCUCUCAGGGAAAACUGGCCUGAGCAUUGCAUAACGCAGGCAGACUGCACCCCUCACGUCGCCUGGGGCCACAUGCACAUGUUUCCAAGAGACUUGCUGGAGAAUCUUCCCCGGAUCUUGACAAAGUUGGACAUGGAAAGCACGUUGGUCCAUCCAAGGUCCACAGAGCGACCCUGGCUAUGAAAAAUCAUCCUCCGAGUGGGAGUCUGUCUGCCAGGAGUGAGGUGACACCGCACAUGGCCUCAGGAGCUGGAAACGCUGGUGAAUUCAGAUGCAGCCAAAGCUUCUAACUUAGUCACAGUUAUUAAUUAUUCUUGGUCUUAUUGGAGCAGGAACCACUGCCAUGCAUCAGGCCAGCAAGGCUCACUCCCCACCGUAGGAUCCCUGUGUAGACGGUCGCUCCAUCAGUGUAGUUGGGUGUGUGGAGCAAGGGACUGGGCUGACCCUACCUUCCAAGCAUCGAUGUGGCCUUCAGCAGAGCAGGAGGAGAUAGCCCAGGACUUGUACUUUGCAGUUGAAGUGCCAGACCUAAGAAAUGCAAACCUGAGGAUGGAAAGAGGGUGGAGAGGGGGGAGGUGUCUGGAUUGGCCGUCCAGAGCAGCCCCAGCUGCAGCAAGUGGAACUUGGCUGGCUGCCUCACAGGCCUGGUGGCAGCGUCCCCAGCGAGGAGCCUGUCCCACAUAUGAAGGUCCCCAUACCCUUAGCCCCUAGCUGAGAGUUUCACUGACCAGAGCUCCCUGAGUCCAGGGCUCCACUCAAGGGACUGCUGUCCCCGUUGGUGAAGAAGGCCUGUUGGGGCCAAUGCUUCCCCCCACAGGGAAGCGGAGCUGUAUUUUGUCGGACAGAACUUUGCAAGCCUGAAACAGCUGGUGGUGGCCCCAGAGCCAAGAUCUGACCUCACUCCAGAGUUGAAGGGCACAGAGAAGGCACAGCUAGAGGCGGCAGGUACCCCUCAAAGCUCUCGGGAGAGGGUACAAAGUGGGACCUCCCAGCACCCUUGGCCUCCAGGCCUCAAAAGCCCUGAGAGGGCUGCAUGCAAGGAGACAAAGCUGGAGAAGGAUGUGGGAGGCAGGUGGCUAAGAAGACAGGCUGGAAAGGGACGUGGGAGGUAGGUGGCUUUGCUCUAAACAGAAUCGUCUCAGUAAUGUGACACUGCACAUGUAUAGGUAGGCUCGCUCAUGGGCAUAACCCUCUAAAACACACCUUUUAUGGAGUGAAAUUCACUUAACAGCCAUCUUGAAGCAUAUACUUCGGCGGCAUUUGCUGGAUUCACGACGUUGUGCAACCUCUGCUUCUCCAGUUUCAGAACAUUUCAUCCCUCCAGAACAACAGCUCAUCCCCAUUAAGUAAUCACUCCUCAUUCCUUCCCCAUCCUCUGGAAACCACAGAUCUGCUUUCUGUCUCUAUGGAUUUGUCCGUUUUGGAUAUUUCAUAUAAAAGGAAUCAC